rnacentral:rRNA from 1 species
GUGUGCAAUCAUACCAGCAUUAAUGCACCAGAUCCCAUCAGAACUCUACAGUUAAGCAUGCUUGGGCUAGAGUAGUAUUGUGAUGGGUGACCUCCCGAGAAGUCCUAGUGUUGCACCCU